rnacentral:rRNA from 1 species
GAUGAACGCUGGCGGCGUGCCUAAUACAUGCAAGUCGAGCGAACAGACGAGGAGCUUGCUCCUCUGACGUUAGCGGCGGACGGGUGAGUAACACGUGGAUAACCUACCUAUAAGACUGGGAUAACUUCGGGAAACCGGAGCUAAUACCGGAUAAUAUAUUGAACCGCAUGGUUCAAUAGUGAAAGACGGUUUUGCUGUCACUUAUAGAUGGAUCCGCGCCGCAUUAGCUAGUUGGUAAGGUAACGGCUUACCAAGGCGACGAUGCGUAGACGACCUGAGAGGGUGAUCGGCCACACUGGAACUGAGACACGGUCCAGACUCCGACGGGAGGCAGCAGUAGGGAAUCUUCCGCAAUGGGCGAAAGCCUGACGGAGCAACGCCGCGUGAGUGAUGAAGGUCUUCGGAUCGUAAAACUCUGUUAUUAGGGAAGAACAAAUGUGUAAGUAACUAUGCACGUCUUGACGGUACCUAAUCAGAAAGCCACGGCUAACUACGU